GGAGGGUGCGAACGUUAAUCGGAACCACUGGGCGUAAAGCGCGCGUAGGCGGUUUGUUAAGUGGGAUGUGAAAGCCCCGGGCUUAACCUGGGAACUGCAUUUCAAACUGGCGAACUAGAGUGCGGUAGAGGGAGGUAGAAUUUCCUGUGUAGCGGUGAAAUGCGUAGAUAUAGGAAGGAAUACCAGUGGCGAAGGCGGCCUCCUGGAUCGACACUGACGCUAAGGCGCGAAAGCGUGGGGAGCAAACAGGAUUAGAUACCCUGGUAGUCCACGCCGUAAACGAUGAGAACUAGCCGUUGGACCCCAUGAGGGUUUAGUGGCGUAGCUAACGCGAUAAGUUCUCCGCCUGGGGAGUACGGCCGCAAGGCUA
rnacentral:rRNA from 1 species